GGCCUCGUGGCCCAAUGGCAAGGCGUCUGACUACGAGAAUGAUUCAACAAAGAAUCCUUUAGGGUGAUCAGGAGAUUCUGGGUUCGACCCCCAGCGAGGUCA